rnacentral:rRNA from 1 species
CCUACGGGAGGCAGCAGUGGGGAAUAUUGGACAAUGGGGGGAACCCUGAUCCAGCCAUGCCGCGUGUGUGAAGAAGGCCCUCGGGUUGUAAAGCACUUUCAGUGAGGAAGAACGCCUGGUGGUUAAUACCCAUCAGGAAAGACAUCACUCACAGAAGAAGCACCGGCUAACUCCGUGCCAGCAGCCGCGGUAAUACGGAGGGUGCGAGCGUUAAUCGGAAUUACUGGGCGUAAAGCGCGCGUAGGUGGCUGGAUAAGCCGGUUGUGAAAGCCCCGGGCUCAACCUGGGAACGGCAUCCGGAACUGUCAAGCUAGAGUGCAGGAGAGGAAGGUAGAAUUCCCGGUGUAGCGGUGAAAUGCGUAGAGAUCGGGAGGAAUACCAGUGGCGAAGGCGGCCUUCUGGACUGACACUGACACUGAGGUGCGAAAGCGUGGGUAGCAAACAGGAUUAGAUACCCUGGUAGUC